AGAUAGGACCUCGCUGCUAAUGCUGGAGUU
rnacentral:piRNA from 1 species